UUAGCGCUGGAAGGUUCGCUGGAAGCCGCAGAUAUUGGCGGACGGGUGAGUAACGCGUGAGGGACAUGUCUGCAGGAGGGGGAUAACGUUUGGAAACGGACGCUAAGACCCCGUAAGCCGGGAGGUGAAAGUGGCGGAAGCCAGCACUGUGGAGUGACUCGCGUCCUAUCAGCUAGUUGGCGGGGUGAAGGCCCACCAAGGCUGAUGACGGGUAGCCGACCUGAGAGGGUGGCCGGCCACACUGGAACUGAGAUACGGUCCAGACUCCUACGGGAGGCAGCANUUGGGGAAUAUUGGGCAAUGGGCGGAAGCCUGACCCAGCAGACNGCCGCCGUGGGGGAAGAAGUCUUUUCGGGAUGUAAACCCUUGUUGUACGGGACCGAAGGAAGUGAACGGUACCGUACGAGGAAGCCCCGGCAAACUACGUGCCAGCAGCCGAGGUAAUACGUAGAGGGGACGAGCGUUGUCCGGAAUCACUGAGCAGUAAAGCGCACGUAGGCGGGCUGUCAAGUCGGNCGUGAAAGGCAACGGGCUCACACCUGUGCAUGUCGGUCGAUACCUGGCCGGUCUGGAGUAUGGGAGAGGGAAACUGGAAUUCCCGGUGUUAGCGGUUGACACAUGCGUUAGACUCUCGGGAGGNACACCAGUUGGGCGAAAGGCGAGGUUC
rnacentral:rRNA from 1 species